GAAUUUUCUAGCUGGAGAAAAGCUAAUGAUAUACUUGUACUGGCAAUUGUAUAAGCCUCAUAUAAUUUUUCUACCAUUUAUUUUUCACACACAAAAAAGUUUGUUAUAAUGCAAUGAGAGACCUUUGCAAGUGUAACGCUGAUAUGGGAUUGAGAAGAGAGUAUUGCCCAGAGAGAAGAGACAUUUAGCAAAUACACUUGAUGGUGUGGGAAUGCUGAUUGGGAAUGCAGUAGAAGAAGAAGGAGGAAAUCAAAAUUCCAGAUUUCCUGGCUUGAAUGGCUUUGUAUGUCUACGAAAGAACACCAGAAUCAUCCUUGAGACUGCUGAUGCCUCUCCAGAGAAAACUGCCUCUGGAGUUUUCAAGAGAAGACUGCCUCUCUUAGAAACUAACUCUUAUUGGUCACAAUGCUGUAAGACUCAUACUAGGUCCUCCAACUCCUGGGGCAGGAAGAUCCGUAUGUUCUGUGUAAACACUGGAAGACCCUUAGAAAACAGCCAAGAGUAUUCUGAAAACAGUCAAGAGGAAGGAAUACUCCUCUGGAUAUAUAAAAUUCAGUUUCAUAGACUAGGACAGAAUUCCAUAGGUGGCAGAAUGGAGGACUCCAGAGGAUAGAGAAAAGUCCACGUUAGUUUUCUCCCACAAUAUGCUCUUCCAUUCUCCACUAUAAAUUGCACAAUAUCCAGAGACCAGCACAUUUUUUUUAUUAUUUCUAGCAUCUAUUUUAGACCUAUAAAUGUAAUAGAUACUCAACAGAUAUUAGUAAAAUAAAUGAAUAAAUAAAUGAAUAUUGCAGAUAGAUCACUGAGAGCUGCUAGUCACCUGGAUAUCCAUCAUAAUGAGGUUUAGUUAAUUAGUCAAGACACCACUAGAUAAAGGGAUGUCCAUUUGAGUCCUGUAUGAAUGAUAUCCAAUAUGCAAAAUAUAUCUAACUUGGCCAUUUCUAGGGGUAUCCAAUCUUUUGACUUUCCUUGAGAAGAAAAAAGCAAAACAAAUCUCACAAUGUUUUAAGAAAGUUUAUGAAUUUGUGUUGGGCCAUAUUCAAAGUUGUCCUGGGCUGCCUGUGGUCCGUGGUCUCAGGUUAGACAAGCUGGAUUCAGGCCUGUUUUCUAACUAUCCAUGGUAAUUCAGUCCACAAAUUUCUAAAAUAAGCUUAUCCUCCUUUCUGCCUCUUCAUGUUUUUCAUAGGCUACUGGCUCACUGACCUUCUCUUAAUAAGCCUCAUAUUCUAUUCCCCUUCCAGAGGGAAACUCUCAUUUCCUUAUUCUGACAGGCUCUCUCUCUUACGUCUCUGCUUUGUUACAUGCUGUUUGUUAUUGUAGAAAAGUCUCCUUUAGCACCUAGAUCAUAGUAGAUAUUUAAUACAAAUUUUUGAAUAAGUCAACCAUCCGUCAAAGACUUUGUUUGAAAAAAUAUGUAAUAACUCAGUGAUCCCUUUUGUAGAUUUAGGAUACUUUUAUGAAAAUAAGUGCUUUCUUCUUCUAUAAAAAUAUUUCCACAUUUAUAAUUUAUGAGAAAAAAAU
rnacentral:lncRNA from 1 species